UACGUAGGGGGCGAGCGUUGUCCGGAUUUAUUGGGCGUAAAGAGCGUGUAGGCGGCCGGGCAGGUCUGGUGUGAAAACUCGAGGCUUAACCUCGAGAUGUCACCGGAAACCAUCUGGCUAGAGUCCGGAAGAGGAGAGUGGAAUUCCUGGUGUAGCGGUGAAAUGCGUAGAGAUCAUGAGGAACACCAGUGGCGAAGGCGGGUCUCUGGACAGUUCCUGACACUGAGACACGAAGGCCAGGGGAGCAAACGGG
rnacentral:rRNA from 1 species